GAUGAUGCCCAGCUUGCUGGGCGGAUUAGUGGCGAACGGGUGAGUAAUACGUGAGUAACCUGCCCUUGACUCUGGGAUAAGCCUGGGAAACUGGGUCUAAUACUGGAUACUACUGUCCACCGCAUGGUGGGUGGUGGAAAGGGUUUUACUGGUUUUGGAUGGGCUCACGGCCUAUCAGCUUGUUGGUGGGGUAAUGGCUCACCAAGGCGACGACGGGUAGCCGGCCUGAGAGGGUGACCGGCCACACUGGGACUGAGACACGGCCCAGACUCCUACGGGAGGCAGCAGUGGGGAAUAUUGCACAAUGGGCGGAAGCCUGAUGCAGCGACGCCGCGUGAGGGAUGACGGCCUUCGGGUUGUAAACCUCUUUCAGUAGGGAAGAAGCGAGAGUGACGGUACCUGCAGAAGAAGCGCCGGCUAACUACGUGCCAGCAGCCGCGGUAAUACGUAGGGCGCAAGCGUUGUCCGGAAUUAUUGGGCGUAAAGAGCUCGUAGGCGGUUUGUCGCGUCUGCUGUGAAAGCCCGGGGCUCAACCCCGGGUCUGCAGUGGGUACGGGCAGACUAGAGUGCAGUAGGGGAGACUGGAAUUCCUGGUGUAGCGGUGAAAUGCGCAGAUAUCAGGAGGAACACCGAUGGCGAAGGCAGGUCUCUGGGCUGUUACUGACGCUGAGGAGCGAAAGCAUGGGGAGCGAACAGGAUUAG
rnacentral:rRNA from 1 species